UAGGGAAUCUUCGGCAAUGGACGAAAGUCUGACCGAGCAACGCCGCGUGAGUGAAGAAGGUUUUCGGAUCGUAAAACUCUGUUGGUAGAGAAGAACGUUGGUGAGAGUGGAAAGCUCAUCAAGUGACGGUAGCUACCCAGAAAGGGACGGCUAACUACGUGCCAGCAGCCGCGGUAAUACGUAGGUCCCGAGCGUUGUCCGGAUUUAUUGGGCGUAAAGCGAGCGCAGGUGGUUUAUUAAGUCUGGAUGCU
rnacentral:rRNA from 1 species